UAAGCAUAUCAAUAAGCGGAGGAAAAGAAACUAACAAGGAUUCCCCUAGUAGCGGCGAGCGAAGCGGGAAGAGCUCAAAUUUAUAAUCUGGCACCUUCGGUGUCCGAGUUGUAAUCUCUAGAAAUGUUUUCCGCGUUGGACCGCACACAAGUCUGUUGGAAUACAGCGGCAUAGUGGUGAGACCCCCGUAUAUGGUGCGGACGCCCAGCGCUUUGUGAUACAUUUUCGAAGAGUCGAGUUGUUUGGGAAUGCAGCUCAAAUUGGGUGGUAAAUUCCAUCUAAAGCUAAAUAUUGGCGAGAGACCGAUAGCGAACAAGUACCGUGAGGGAAAGAUGAAAAGCACUUUGGAAAGAGAGUUAACAGUACGUGAAAUUGUUGGAAGGGAAACGCUUGAAGUCAGACUUGCUUGCCGAGCAAUCCGUUUGCAGGCCAGCAUCAGUUUUCCGGGAUGGAUAAUGGUAGAGAGAAGGUAGCAGUUUAAGCUGUGUUAUAACUCUCUGCCGACUGCAUCUUGGGGGACUGAGGAACCCAGUGUGCCUUUGGCGGGGGUUUCGACCUCUUCACACUUAGGAUGCUGGUGGAAUGGCUUAAACGACCCGUCUGAAACACGGACCCAAG
rnacentral:rRNA from 1 species